rnacentral:tRNA from 2 species
GCUCCCGUAGCUCAGCUGGCUAGAGCAAUUGACUCUUAAUCAAUAGGUCGUGGGUUCGAACCCCACCGGUAGCA